rnacentral:tRNA from 1 species
GAGGGCAUAGCUCAAGUGGUAGAGCGCAUGCUUAGCAUGCAUGAGGUCCUGGGUUCAGUCCCCAGUACCUCCU